rnacentral:rRNA from 1 species
UACGUAGGUGGCAAGCGUUAUCCGGAAUUAUUGGGCGUAAAGCGCGCGUAGGCGGUUUUUUAAGUCUGAUGUGAAAGCCCACGGCUCAACCGUGGAGGGUCAUUGGAAACUGGAAAACUUGAGUGCAGAAGAGGAAAGUGGAAUUCCAUGUGUAGCGGUGAAAUGCGCAGAGAUAUGGAGGAACACCAGUGGCGAAGGCGACUUUCUGGUCUGUAACUGACGCUGAUGUGCGAAAGCGUGGGGAUCAA